rnacentral:rRNA from 1 species
AGCAGUCGCCGCGGGAAUACGCAGGUCCCGAGCGUUGUCCGGAUUUAUUGGGCGUAAAGGGAGUGUAGGCGGUCUUUUAAGUCUGAUGUGAAAGCCCACGGCUCAACCGUGGAGGGUCAUUGGAAACUGGGAGACUUGAGUGCAGAAGAGGAGAGCGGAAUUCCAUGUGUAGCGGUGAAAUGCGUAGAUAUAUGGAGGAACACCAGUGGCGAAGGCGGCUCUCUGGUCUGUAACUGACGCUGAGGCUCGAAAGCGUGGGGAGCAAACAGGAUUAGAUACCCCCGUAGUCCCUGUCUCUUAUAC